ACGCGCUGCCUUUGAACCUGUGAGUUGCCCCAGUGGCCUCGCUGGCCAAGCAGCAGCGCAAGAGCAAUGGGCUGGUUAUAACUGGUGCGUCUCAGCCCGCCCUGAGCUGCGCUUUUAACUACCCGCUACAGUU
ensembl:snoRNA